UGGUACCUCGGGUUAAGUACUUAACUCGUUCCGGAGGUCCGUUCUUAACCUGAAACUGUUCUUAACCUGAAGCACCACUUUAGCUAAUGGGGCCUCCCGCUGCUGCUGCACUGCCGGAGCACAAUUUCUGUUCUCAUCCUGAAGCAAAGUUCUUAACCCAAGGUACUAUUUCUGUCUGUAACCUGAAGCGUCUGUAACCCAAGGUACCACUGUAAACAUGCCUGCAUCUUUAAGCCCCUGAAAGCAUGUUAUAGCUUAUAAUGGACUGUUUAGUUAAAUCAAAAGAUAAAAAGUAUUACUAAAAUAAAACCCUAGCUCUGUCGAAAUCACGUCCACUUCAGUGAAGACAUGAUUUUCUUAUCUAAGAUUUGGUUGCACACUUAGUAAUUUGACCAGUUGUCAAGAAUCCAACCUGUUAGUGCUAUGCAAAAUGGUAUUUGUUGGUAUCCCAUUGUGAAGGAAAAAAAUUGCUAAAUAUUCUAAAGUACAGGGACAACAUAAGGACUUGAUGAGUGUGUGAUCAUACACGUGUCUUAGUUAGGGUAUGCAUAUCAGCAGCCAGGUAAAUAAGAAUGCUGGCUGAAGAUUGCAUUGUGAAUGUUGUACUGCCAGGUA